rnacentral:rRNA from 1 species
UGGAUGAUGUGGAUUAAUUCGAUGCAACGCGAAAACCUUACCUACCUUGACAUGUCCGGAAUCCUGCAGAGAUGCGGGAGUGCCGAAAGGGAAUCGGAACACAGGUGCUGCAUGGCUGUCGUCAGCUCGUGUCGUGAGAUGUUGGGUUAAAGUCCCGCAACAAGCGCAACCCUUAUCAUUAGUUGCUACGCAAGGGCACUCUAAUGAGACUGCCGGUGACAAACCGGAGGAAGUGGGGAUGACGUCAAGUCCUCAUGGCCCUUAUGGGUAGGGCUUCACACGUCAUACAAUGGUCGGUACAGAGGGUUGCCAAGCCGCGAGGUGGAGCCAAUCCCAUAAAGCCAGUCGUAGUCCGGAUCGCAGUCUGCAACUCGACUGCGUGAAGUCGGAAUCGCUAGUAAUCGUGGAUCAGCAUGUCACGGUGAAUACGUUCCCGGGUCUU